UUUUCAAUCAGAGUACGCGAAUAGAAAAUUUUUAUUAAUUUCCAAUCUUAGACUACUCUUACCAAGGAACGCUACCAAAAUGACGAUGUUAAUAACGGAAAGAAACAAAACUAGCGGGGGUCAUGCCAAGGAAUGUCGUAAUCGUAUGUGUGUGCACACUUACAUAGUCGAUGGUGUCACUCACUUGAGUAUCAUAUCCAUGUUUCAUAUGCCCAGGACUAGCUAUGUUGGAAUUUUAAUUAUUGUAACUGCAUUGAUUUAGCUGAAGGUGCAGCCUGUAUUGGCAUCAAAGACUCAAGAAAGAUCUGAUCCUUUUAGCUAAAGAGACGGUAAUUAAAAGCAAAAU